rnacentral:tRNA from 1 species
GCAUUGGUGGUUUAGUGGUAGAGUUCUCGAGUGCCACGUGGGAGGCCCAAGUCCGAUUUCUGGCCAAUGCA